AUUAGUUAAUGCAAGAUCGACUAUGUCGACUAAAGUUCUAGGUAGAAUAAUGAUGAUGACAAUUUUCUACCUAUAUGUCUUGACCAAAUCUCGUGCCAGCUAUCGCGGUAAUACGUGAAAGACUAGUGUUAUUCAUCUUAAAUAGGUUUAAAGGGUACCUAGACGGUAUUUUUAGCCCAAAACAGGGUACGGACUUACUAGAGUUUUAUGUGAGGAGGGGAGUACUUGUAGAGUAGAGAUGAAAUUUUGUGAUACUAUAAGGAAACUGGUGGCGGCGAAAGCAACCUUCUAUGUAUAAACUGACGUUGAGGGACGAAGGCUUGGGUAGCAAAUAGGAUUAGAUACCCUAGUAGUCCAAGCAGACAAUUCUGAAUGCCAUAGAUUAGAUUAUUUUUGGUCUAUAAAUGAAAGUGUAAGCAUUCCACCUUAGGAGUAAUGUGGCAACACAGGAACUGAAAUCAUUAGACCGUUUCUGAAACCAGUAGUGAAGUAUGUUAUUUAAUUUGAUAGUCCUCAAAAAACCUUACCACAACUUGAAUGUUAUUAAAUUAAUACAAGCGUUGCACGGCUGUCUUCAGUUAAUGUCGUGAGAUUUUGGUUAACUCCAUUAAUUAACGUAAACCCUUACUUUAUUU
rnacentral:rRNA from 1 species